rnacentral:rRNA from 1 species
GGGGUCGGCGGUGUGCUAUACAUGCAAGUCGAACGCGUUGGCCCAAUUGAUUGAUGGUGCUUGCACCUGAUUGAUUUUGGUCGCCAACGAGUGGCGGACGGGUGAGUAACACGUAGGUAACCUGCCCAGAAGCGGGGGACAACAUUUGGAAACAGAUGCUAAUACCGCAUAACAACGUUGUUCGCAUGAACAACGCUUAAAAGAUGGCUUCUCGCUAUCACUUCUGGAUGGACCUGCGGUGCAUUAGCUUGUUGGUGGGGUAACGGCCUACCAAGGCGAUGAUGCAUAGCCGAGUUGAGAGACUGAUCGGCCACAAUGGGACUGAGACACGGCCCAUACUCCUACGGGAGGCAGCAGUAGGGAAUCUUCCACAAUGGGCGCAAGCCUGAUGGAGCAACACCGCGUGAGUGAAGAAGGGUUUCGGCUCGUAAAGCUCUGUUGUUAAAGAAGAACACGUAUGAGAGUAACUGUUCAUACGUUGACGGUAUUUAACCAGAAAGUCACGGCUAACUACGUGCCAGCAGCCGCGGUAAUACGUAGGUGGCAAGCGUUAUCCGGAUUUAUUGGGCGUAAAGAGAGUGCAGGCGGUUUUCUAAGUCUGAUGUGAAAGCCUUCGGCUUAACCGGAGAAGUGCAUCGGAAACUGGAUAACUUGAGUGCAGAAGAGGGUAGUGGAACUCCAUGUGUAGCGGUGGAAUGCGUAGAUAUAUGGAAGAACACCAGUGGCGAAGGCGGCUACCUGGUCUGCAACUGACGCUGAGACUCGAAAGCAUGGGUAGCGAACAGGAUUAGAUACCCUGGUAGUCCAUGCCGUAAACGAUGAGUGCUAGGUGUUGGAGGGUUUCCGCCCUUCAGUGCCGGAGCUAACGCAUUAAGCACUCCGCCUGGGGAGUACGACCGCAAGGUUGAAACUCAAAGGAAUUGACGGGGGCCCGCACAAGCGGUGGAGCAUGUGGUUUAAUUCGAAGCUACGCGAAGAACCUUACCAGGUCUUGACAUCUUGCGCCAACCCUAGAGAUAGGGCGUUUCCUUCGGGACGCAAUGACAGGUGGUGCAUGUCGUCGUCAGCUCGUGUCGUGAGAUGUGGGUUAAGUCCGCACGAGCGCACCCUGUACUAGUGCAGCAUAAGUUGGGCACUCUAGUGAGACUGCGUGACAAACGGAGAGUGGGACGACGUCGAACUAUCAUGCCUAUAUAACCUGGCCACCACACGUGCUCUACAAUGGGACGUU